rnacentral:piRNA from 1 species
UCCCAGGUGCUAGGACUAAAAGGUGU